UGAUUUUCAUUGUAUAAAUUCCAGGUUGUUGUGGCCCCUAAUGACAAAUACCUCUGCACAGGAGGAAGCGAUCAGAAAGUUGUUUUAUAUCAUAACAGAAGUGGGCGUACACAUCUUAAUUGGCGUCUUUCACAUCCUCUGCAAGGAAAUGAUUGAUAUGCUGCCAGAAAUCAUAGAAUUGUUCCGCUAACAUGCAGGGAAGUUCUCUAAGGCAGGCAGUUGAACUUUGGCAGAAACUUGGUUGCUCCAGAUGGAUGUGGAGCCAGGACUCGUAUUGAAGCUUCUGCUUGAUGGACGGCUGAAGCUUGUGUUGGCCUUGACAUUAUUGAAUUCUCAUGCCUCUUUACAAGUAGAGUCUGUAUCUUUUUGUGCUCCUAUAAAGAAAUGUUCAUGAAAUCAAUGUCAUUCUGACUGGUAGUAGGUCUCUAUUCUUAGAUUCUGUUUGGAUAAAGGGGAUGGAAUCCAAAUCCUUAGGAUUUAGUUCAACUUUGAACUAAAUUUCUAGAGCAACCCCCUUAUUUGAGCACCCAUGUAUGGGCCAGAUUAUGUGAUUCCCUGUACCAUCAACCAGUUGAUUAAUAAAUACUC